CAACGACAGUGUAACUGAGUGUGUUGGAGCACAGUGACUGUUCCUACAAUAACCUCUCGGCUCAGUUCAGCUGUCACUUUGACCCCGGGGCCGCCUUAAAAUAAAGACGGGGGAAUGAGAGAGGAGACAGCGUUGACGAGAAGGGAGAAAGCAAACGGCGGAGAGGUCUGUGAUUGGUUUGAUCUGCAAGUGAAAUAUCCAAGAGAAGGGAGCAGGUGGAACACAGCUAUUCCAGGAUGAUCUGGAUGUAAAUGAACAAGGACAGCAAAUGCCUUCGAUUACCCCUCCAAACUCUAUAUGCCCACUUUGGACCUCAUGAUGGAGGGAAUGUCUUUGGUGAAGAAGCUGCAGAUGGUUGAGCCUUGAAUUCUUCCCAGGUUUAAUGGAUUUGCGAUAAAAGUGACUGAAAGACAGCUGGCUGUUCCUGGAGACUUUCUAAUGUCUCCACAAAAGAGAGAGACAAGGAGAGAGAUGUGUUGAUAUGCUGUGACUAUAGGCUGCCUGGUUCUCUGCUGUACAACUCCACACAAUCCAUGAUCACCUGAUUAUAACCAAUCAGAAUGGUGCUGUCAAGCGUUCUCCCUUAGUUCAGAACCCAUUGUUACUAUGGCGCCUGCUUUUGCUUUCACUUUUCCAGGAAAACACAACAUUAUCCAUGCUCAGGUAAACAUGGUACUGCAGCCAUCUUUUUGCAGUGUUUUUGUUUUAAAGCAGUAAAAAAAAGUCUAAAAAAUUGGAAAUAAAACAAUGUUGUUCUUGCUCUAAAAUUAGAUACUUUCCAGUUCUGAUAAUUAGUAAUUGACUGGACAAGUUAACUACAUUUCUGUCUCCAUGGGUUCUGAAUAGU